rnacentral:rRNA from 1 species
AACAGUUGGAAACGGCUGCUAAUACCGCAUAAGCGCACAGUACCGCAUGGUACGGUGUGAAAAACUCCGGUGGUAUGAGAUGGACCCGCGUCUGAUUAGGUAGUUGGUGGGGUAACGGCCUACCAAGCCGACGAUCAGUAGCCGACCUGAGAGGGUGACCGGCCACAUUGGGACUGAGACACGGCCCAAACUCCUACGGGAGGCAGCAGUGGGGAAUAUUGCACAAUGGGGGAAACCCUGAUGCAGCGACGCCGCGUGAGCGAUGAAGUAUUUCGGUAUGUAAAGCUCUAUCAGCAGGGAAGAAAAUGACGGUACCUGACUAAGAAGCCCCGGCUAACUACGUGCCAGCAGCCGCGGUAAUACGUAGGGGGCAAGCGUUAUCCGGAUUUACUGGGUGUAAAGGGAGCGUAGACGGCAUGGCAAGCCAGAUGUGAAAGCCCGGGGCUCAACCCUGGGACUGCAUUUGGAACUGUCAGGCUAGAGUGUCGGAGAGGAAAGCGGAAUUCCUAGUGUAGCGGUGAAAUGCGUAGAUAUUAGGAGGAACACCAGUGGCGAAGGCGGCUUUCUGGACGAUGACUGACGUU